UUUCGCCCUCAAAUCAGGUAGGACUACCCGCUGAACUUAAGCAUAUCAAUAAGGCGGAGGAAGAAAA
rnacentral:rRNA from 1 species